ensembl:lncRNA
AGCCAGGGACCCGUCUCACCGGAGCCUGGGACCCGUCUCACCGGAGCCUGGGACCCGUCUCACCGGAGCCUGAGACCCGUCUCACCGGAGUCUGGGACCCGUCUCACCGGAGUCUGGGACCCGUCUCACCGGAGCCUGGGACCCGUCUCACUGGAGUCUGGGACCCGUCUCACUGGAGUCUGCCAGCAGAGCCGACCCGAGGAAGGACCGUGGGAAAAGGAUGCUUUGAUAUCCCAGUCAAACACAACCCCUGCUCCUUGCAUCCGCAUCCCAUUCGCCGUUCACCGGGGCAAUCCCCACGGACAUGCUUCUGGGAAAUGAGCAGGAGAGGAGGUGACAGAAGCUCAAUAGAUUAUCGAAGCAGGGCUCAUUAUACGCCCUCACGCAGUUCAGGAGUCUGUACUAGCAGUCAUCUCGAGCCAAGGGAUCGGGGUGCAGACGGAGAGCCACACCUGGCAGAACUCAACAUCUGGCUGAACUGUUACAUGAACAACUCUCACUGAACUCUGAUUCCACAUCGGAGACAUUCCAGCAUGGUCCUUUAUCUUAGCAACGUACCUUUAGCCUCAUUGGACUGAACAUACCGCAGGGCCUAGGAUAAUCCCAACCCAUUACCGCAAAGCACACUAUUCCAAACAGUGAGGCAGUGUGUACCACUGCCCACCUCGUCCCCCUGUCCUGCCCCCCCCCUCUCCCUCUACACCCCAUGACCC